rnacentral:rRNA from 1 species
CCUANGGGAGGCAGCAGUGGGGAAUAUUGCACAAUGGGCGAAAGCCUGAUGCAGCAAUGCCGCGUGUGUGAAGAAGGCCUGCGGGUUGUAAAGCACUUUCGGUAGGAAAGAUGAUGACGGUACCUACAGAAGAAGCACCGGCUAACUCCGUGCCAGCAGCCGCGGUAAUACGGAGGGUGCAAGCGUUAAUCGGAAUUACUGGGCGUAAAGCGCGCGUAGGCGGUCUUGUAAGUCGGAUGUGAAAGCCCCGGGCUCAACCUGGGAACUGCAUUCGAUACUGCUCGACUGGAGUAUGGAAGAGGGAAGCGGAAUUCCGGGUGUAGCGGUGAAAUGCGUAGAUAUCCGGAGGAACACCAGUGGCGAAGGCGGCUUCCUGGUCCAAUACUGACGCUGAGGCGCGAAAGCGUGGGGAGCAAACAGGAUUAGAUACCCCGNUANUC